rnacentral:rRNA from 1 species
UACGGAGGGUGCGAGCGUUGUCCGGAAUCAUUGGGCGUAAAGAGCUCGUAGGCGGCUUGUCGCGUCGACUGUGAAAUCCCGCGGCUCAACUGCGGGUCUGCAGUCGAUACGGGCAGGCUAGAGUUCGGUAGGGGAGACUGGAAUUCCUGGUGUAGCGGUGAAAUGCGCAGAUAUCAGGAGGAACACCGAUGGCGAAGGCAGGUCUCUGGGCCGAUACUGACGCUGAGGAGCGAAAGCGUGGGGAGCGAA